rnacentral:lncRNA from 1 species
CAUAGACACCCCGAAACAUACUCAGCAAGCUCAGGAUGUGCCACCAGACCAGGAUGUGUUGAGGACAUUCAGAAGACCAGGAUCACCUCUUAAAACCCUGCUGUGUCCACCAAAGUAAUCUCUCAGCUUAGUCUCCUCCACCUGUCCAUCCCAUGGGUAUUUAAAGAGACUCCCUCCCAUCUGCCAAAGACACUCAGGCCACCAGACAUCCUGAAGGAGGAGCCAUGGACAGAGAACACAGGCUGAGUUGGCUUCGACUUUGCCAGCUAACCGCUGCAAAAGGCAGGAGUCCUCAGAGGCCCCAGCUCUUCCAAAGCCUGAUUUGGAAGCACAGUGCUUCAGUUACUCAGGGUAUAAGAGAAGAUGUGGUCCAUUGUGUCGGGGAAGGCAUGUGGUGGCAGAGGUGUGGUGAAGGCUGAUCACCUUGUGUCCGCUGUCAGAAACCCGGGGGAGGCUUGUCUGGCACAUUAAAUUAGAAGAAAAAAAUGCACACACAAUUUCAGAAAUAUUUUUGCUGCUGGACUCCCAACUGAACAUCUAAUAUUUCAGUGUGCGAAGAGGAAGUAUGGCCUGGGAGAGCUGUGCUAGGAACAGAUGGGGACCAAGAGAUUCUGCAACACUGGUGCAUCGACCCAAAGCUGUGUACUGGAGUCCCUGGGAGGGAGGGAGCAGUCUGGGUCAGCACCUGAUGGCUCAUGGUGGCCCUACACAGCUGCUUGAGCUUCUGCUCACACCUCAGCAGGCCCAUGUGAGGAACAGCAGCCAGAGAGACAGCCCCCACACAAAGCGUAAAGAGUGCAGCUUCCCGAGAGAAGAGGGACCAGCAAGAGGGGCCGAGGCUGUCUGCACUGAACUCUGCAUUCCCUUCCCAGUAAGAAGUCAUGCAAAAUCCAAGCUUGCGUCUCACAAU